rnacentral:rRNA from 1 species
GACGAACGCUGGCGGCGUGCCUAAUACAUGCAAGUAGAACGCUGAAGAGAGGAGCUUGCUCUUCUUGGAUGAGUUGCGAACGGGUGAGUAACGCGUAGGUAACCUGCCUUGUAGCGGGGGAUAACUAUUGGAAACGAUAGCUAAUACCGCAUAACAAUAGGUGACACACGUCAUUUAUUUGAAAGGGGCAAUUGCUCCACUACAAGAUGGACCUGCGUUGUAUUAGCUAGUAGGUGAGGUAACGGCUCACCUAGGCGACGAUACAUAGCCGACCUGAGAGGGUGAUCGGCCACACUGGGACUGAGACACGGCCCAGACUCCUACGGGAGGCAGCAGUAGGGAAUCUUCGGCAAUGGGGGCAACCCUGACCGAGCAACGCCGCGUGAGUGAAGAAGGUUUUCGGAUCGUAAAGCUCUGUUGUAAGUCAAGAACGAGUGUGAGAGUGGAAAGUUCACACUGUGACGGUAGCUUACCAGAAAGGGACGGCUAACUACGUG